rnacentral:rRNA from 1 species
ACCUCUAGGACGAGGAUAACGACUGGAAACGGUCGCUAAAACUGGAUAGGAUCAUUUGAGGCAUCUCGAAUGAUUUAAAGGGGCUUUCAAGCCACACUUAGAGAAAGGCCUGCGGCGCAUUAGGCUAGUUGGUGGGGUAGAGGCCUACCAAGGCGAUGAUGCGUAGCCGGACUGAGAGGUCGAACGGCCACAUUGGGACUGAGACACGGCCCAAACUCCUACGGGAGGCAGCAGUAGGGAAUUUCGGCAAUGGGGGAAACCCUGACCGAGCAACGCCGCGUGAAUGAAAAGACGUAUUUCGGUAUGUAAAGUUCUUUUAUUAAGGAAGAAUAUCACGGAUAGGAAAUGAUCUGUGAGUGACGGUACUUAAUGAAUAAGCCCCGGCUAACUAUGUGCCAGCAGCCGC